AACGAACGCUGGCGGCAGGCUUAACACAUGCAAGUCGAACGCCCCGCAAGGGGAGUGGCAGACGGGUGAGUAACGCGUGGGAAUCUACCCAGAUCUUCGGAACAACUGAGGGAAACUUCAGCUAAUACCGGAUACGCCCUACGGGGGAAAGAUUUAUCGGUUCUGGAUGAGCCCGCGUUGGAUUAGCUAGUUGGUGAGGUAAAGGCUCACCAAGGCGACGAUCCAUAGCUGGUCUGAGAGGAUGAUCAGCCACACUGGGACUGAGACACGGCCCAGACUCCUACGGGAGGCAGCAGUGGGGAAUAUUGGACAAUGGGCGAAAGCCUGAUCUAGCCAUGCCGCGUGAGUGAUGAAGGCCUUAGGGUUGUAAAGCUCUUUCAGUAGGGAAGAUAAUGACGGUACCUACAGAAGAAGCCCCGGCUAACUUCGUGCCAGCCGCCGCAGUAACAC
rnacentral:rRNA from 1 species